CAAAGGUAAGAGUUUCAUAGUAUGUAUGCUUUCAUAACAGAAUUUUAGGAAAGUGUUACACACUAGGUGGGGAGCUAUUUUUGGACAUGGUGUCUUUUUGCAGCAUCCCUCGUACUAUAUUACGUAGGCAUCUGUUCAGUCUACGAACACCCAUACAGCCUAUUCAGGUUGUGUUCGAGAGAGACAGUGAGUGUGCACGUGCGUGGGGUUGUGUGUCAUGCACCAUCAAGUCAGGUGGACAGGGAGGUCCACGGCUGGAUGUUUCACCUACAAGUGGAUUAUCCUGUGAAGUAUCUUGAAGGGUAUAAAUCUGCUUGGAUUCUCAAGAGAUGGACUAGAUGACUUAGUAGGGUUUUUUGUCUGUCUCUAUUUCCUGAAAUCUUUUCUACAAAAAAAAUGGGGGGUGGGGGGCUCACAUGUUGGAACAAUUAUCCAAGAAUAUUUCAUCCCUGAGAAAAAUAUAACCCCAGAGUCGCUGCCAAAGUCAGUGAGAUCCAUGGCAGCCUGCCUUCUGCACACAGACCUUGCACAUUAACACUUUAAGGACUCGAGCAGAGAGCACGUUUCACUGUCUCCUGCAGCUCACUUGUGAAUAUAGGAGACUGACUAGGACCUCAGGGAAGGUGUCCUAUGGCACCUGAAGAAAUUUUUCUUACAAAAUAUGUACUAAAUGGGCUCAUUCUAUUUUUAGGGUUACCAGUCAUAUGCUGUAAACCUCGUUUCCUUUCACAUAACUGACAACUUGGAUAAAAUAUUUAAAAGGCAUCCUUCAAAGUUGGAGAAUACUGUGACACAGAUCACCGGCCCAUUUCCUCUACUUCCUGGACGCAAAGCUCAAGUCCAUUUCCUGGCCCUCCUUUGCAGUUAGUUAGCUGGAGUGGAGUAAGCCCUCAGGGUGACAUUGGGAGCUACAUGUUAAAGAUGGCGGAAACGGAGUCUCUGAUCUCUCCAAGGAGAUCUACCCAACUAGAAACUCCCACAAGGACUCUUAUGAGAGUGAGAAAUAAGCUUUUUCUGUGUUAAUUCACUGAAAUUUGUAGGUUUAUCUGUUACAGUGGUAAACAUCGCUUUGACCAACGCAAUUAUGAUCACAUUAAUUUGCCUGAAGGUUGUUAUUUAUAUUGAAUGCUUUUUAGUAGAGAUAACAUGUUUCUGUGUGUGUGUGUGUGUGUGUUUGGUAUGUUAAAAUUAUAUCUGUCAGGAAACUACACUGACACUGAGAUUUUUCCUUCUUCCACACCUGGCACAUGCUAUCUCAACAUUUUCUGUUUCUGCCUAACCUCAUCUAAGCUUAUACUGAUGCCCACUUACCUUCUUUUUUUAUUCUUUCCUCUGUUUCUUGUCUUCCUUUUUCAACACUUUCGGCUCCCUUUUCUCGUUUGGCACAUUCAUUCAUUUAGCUCAAAUUUACCGUGUGGCUAUUAUGCAUCGGACAUUUGCCAGGUAAUGAGCUGACAGUGGUAAGUGAAACAAAUUGGGCUCUUCUCCCCUCUCAUGGAAUUUUUGGGAGGAUGUGGGAGAUUGUCCAGGGAUGGACAACAGUUAUGGAGGGAUACAGAAACUCUGCUUACAGAGGAUUAUCACAGAAGGUUCUGAGGGACGGGACGUCAGCAGUGAGCAGAGGGAAGAGGAAAAGGGAACCAUGGAAGGAGAAGGGGAGGAGCAGUCUGACUUGUCCAAAGGCACUGAGGUAGAAAGUAUUUUGCAGGCUCAAAGAGUUUGGAAGGAGGCCACUGUGACUGCAGCUCUGUGUAUGAUGGAGAGAACUGUACAGAAAAGAUUAAAUUAGAGGGUACAGGGAGUUGUCUGGGUUUCAAAUGUUAUGGAAAGGAGCCUAGCUUCCCAUGGAAGUGCAAUGAGAAAUUAUCGAAAGAUUCUAAGUGGGAAAGGAAAGUCAUACAAUUAGUGUUUUAAACAUACUCUAGCUUUUGUUUAGGAAAUAGAUGGUAGGGAGCUGAGGGCUGAAAGAAUGGUAGUCAAGUCCGGUGAAACAUGAUCUACUUUGGACUGCAGAGGACGCCGUGGGGAGUAAGAGAUAUAAUGUAUUUGUGGCACAAUUUUGAAUGCCUGUGUGACAACCAAGUUGAAAUGCUGAAUAGACAGUUAGAUACAUGAGUCUGGAGAUCAGGGGAGGGGUCUGUGCUUUAAACGUAAAUUUGAGAGUUGUGUUAGUGUAUAACAUUUAGUCACAAAGAGUAAAAGACCCAAGGCCUCAACUUACACUCACUGUGUGCUUUUUGGGUUGAAGGUCCUCAUGGCUAUAAGGAGGGCCAUUUGCUCUUCAACCCAUGUUUCCAGGUGGUUCUCUGAGAAGGUGAGGGGCUGCAUCAAGCCUUCUGCAUUCCCCUUCCAAUCACCGUUGUAACUAAAUGGAGAAAAAAAAUUGACCUCAAGAUUUGUAAUUUUUUUAUGCUAGUACCUUUCCUGAAGGGGACCGAUUGAAUUUGGAAGGAAAUAUGCAGGCACUGGGAACUUUCUGGGUGGACAGUGAGCUGCCUUAACCUGAGCCGAGCUCUGUAGACCUCAUUCUAUGAUGUGGGGUGAAUAAGGUCCACCUCAGUGACAGUCAAGAAUGGUUUCUGGCGCGAGAGCCCUUGCCAGGCGAUGUUUUGCUUUAGUGCCAGGGCUCAGGAGUGGAGAUCCACACGUGGUGGCCACCUGAGACUCAGGGCAAAAAGUGCCCAGAGAUCAAGACCCCCCGCGGAAGGAGUACGCUUGGCUACAAUGUGAACCAAACCCUCUCUCCUUUCUUAGGCAAUUAAAGAGCCUGGUUGCACACUUGGAGACACUGUUCACGCAGGCGAUUCUUCUGCUAUUAGAGAAGCAGAUUGACUCCAUUUUGAUCAUCCUGCCCUCGUCUGCUUGGCAAGCGCAGUGUGAUGUCCAUAUGCUCUAUUGUUCCCGUCAGCAGGGCGCUAACGUUUCUUUUGCUGCUGCUCUCACUUCUGUGGGGGAUGUUUUUUUAGCCCCCUUUUCAAUGUUGCCAACACAUACAUAUAUAUUUUUAAAACAUAGCACUUAUUCUGGAGCUGCAGAAGGUGUGAGAGCUGUGUCCUCCAGCCAUGGUACUGCAUUUUCAUUCAGACUCUGCUUCCUGCCUUUAAAUGCAGCGUAGAUUAGUUUUCCAAAGAGGUACCGAUCACCAGUAAGUGGCAGUAGCCUGGCUUCAAGACAGGCUGCACUUACACUUCAGAGGCGACUGCCUGGAACUGGGAAAGGGUUGCAGCCAAACGGAAUUUAUUAGCGGGAUCUAUAGAAUGUGUUUGAAGAGCUACGGUGGUGUGAGCCUGCAGGCACACAGGUUGGCCCACCAUCACACAAAGUCAACCAGGCCAACUGCUCAGGGGAUUCAGCCUGGCAUGCCUUGUCAGCAUUUCUUUAUUUCUUCCUGCCGAGAGACACAAAUGGAACAAAUUUUCAGUCCCAGUGACUUAUGCUUCUUGUGCAUUUUUCCCUCUUCCUUAGAGCUUCCUUCCAUGUUCUCAGCCUCCACGCCAGCUUCUCUUCCCCAGAUGGCGUUAAGGAAGCAAUUGUUUCUUUAGUGGUUCCAGCUGAUUCCCUUCCCCGCCCGGUACCUGGAUUUCCUGUUGGGCUGGAUUUUUAGCUGGGGAGAGUUUUCUCAGUUCCUCAAGUAAGGAUUUUAAACUCCACAUUCAGCGAGAGGGCUGUGGAACUUGGCUUCUCUACAAGAACUAAUCAAUGUAAAGUGUGGGCUAUGCCGCACCUGAUCCUGAGAGACCCCCACAGGAGUGGGAAAGAUCGUUUAUUCUUCUUGGGGGUAUGAAGCAUUCAAACCCCAUUUUGGAAUGUUGAUUUAGUUCUUCCAGAUGACUUCUUUGCCGAAUGCUUGCCCUGAUAGGGACCGCCUGAACUCUGCCGGAGACAGCAAGGUAUGGCAGGAAGAGGACGGCCUUUGUAGCCAGACUCAUGCGCACUCGGAUGUCAGCUCCGUCUUCACUGACUGGGUGACCUUGGAAAAGCCAGCCCCCGCUCCCCUCAGCCGACUGGGGCGAGGACGAAGUGGUGGGACUAAGGGUUUGGGGAGCAGCAUGGAAGAACAAUCUGACAUUGUACUGUUGAGACUUCCUGUGGGAUGACACUCACAGAUUUUCAUCUUUUUAAAUUUCUGUCAUGAAGGAAAUCUUGCAAUUUUGACAACUGCUGAACAAAUAGACUCAUAACCUUUUAUUUUCACACGAUAGCUAAUUUUAUGCUAAUGCAUUUCACAACCUAGUCCACUUAUGACGGAAGCCUGAAUUCUCUAUCCUGGGGACUUGGAUUGGGAUGCUGGGUGAGACAUGCUCCAAUCUGUGUGUGUUUCGUUGAGGUAGGAGGGUUUUCCCUCCAAUUCUCCCCUUCCUCCCCACCAGCCCUCAGCAUUGGGAUUAGUGCGGUAAUGUUUGUAAAACACCUGGGAAUCAGUUUGAACUACUUGACGUUUCAGGGACUGAACUGACUUAUUAUUAUCCCAAUCUCCAUCCACAUUCAAUUUUAUUUUUCAAUACCAGACUCUCAAAAGCAGCCUGAACCUUCUCAUUUCUACGACAAGGAGAUUGCAAUUAUCUGUAGCUAUUCUAAAGCUGCAACUAUUAAUGGGGCGCCUGGGUGGCGCAGUCGGUUAAGCGUCCGACUUCAGCCAGGUCACGAUCUCGCGGUCUGUGAGUUCGAGCCCCGCGUCGGGCUCUGGGCUGAUGGCUCAGAGCCUGGAGCCUGUUUCUGGUUCUGUGUCUCCCUCUCUCUCUGCCCCUCCCCCAUUCAUGCUCUGUCUCUCUCUGUCCCAAAAACAAAUAAACGUUGAAAAAAAAUAAAGCUGCAACUACUAACAUUGUUGAUAGAACAUCCCUAUAAUUGUGAUGGGAAUUUACUUUUCCUCUCGUCUUUUAUAAUUUGGGUGAAUUUUAUCCGAGUGUGAAGAAACUCACAGAAGUAGUUUAUUUAUUUUUUUUUAAGUUUAUUUAUUUUGAGAGAAAGAGAGGGCACAGGUGGGCAAGGGACAGAGAGAGUGGAGAGACAGAAUCCCAAGUAGGUUCUGUGCAGAGCCUGAUGCGGGGCUCGAACUCAAACUGUGAGAUCAUGACCUGAGCCGAGAUCAAGAGUCGCCCGCUUAACCGACUUCGCCACCCAGGCACCGCCUCUCAGAAGUGGCUUAAAAAGAGAAGCCCAGUGAUGUCUGGACAUUCCCACCAGACUCCAGCCCAUUCCCACCAGAUGGAUCUCUGCCACAUGAAUAUUCAGGGAGCCCCGAAGAGUCCAUUAAAAACAAAGUUGAACUCUACCUGUUUAUAGAUUACUUCUCUUUGUAAUUACACUAUGUUUCAGCAACUAAUGGGAAUGAAACUUCUUAACAAAAACAACUGACUUUCCAUAACAUGAAUUAAAGGAGAAAUUAAGGUCAAUUCUGUUUCAAAUAACUGUCUCGAAAGGAAAAAAAAAAAAAUCUCUUCAUUAAUCAAAAGCAUCCAGACCUACUUCCCCCUAUUAAUCCAGGUAUAUAGAAGCACCUAACACUUGUAACCAAUCUCUGUCUGCUCUAAUGGAUAUUUGGAACCUUUAUUGAUUUGGGUAAAUUUGCUUCUUCUAGGGUCAAUAAUGAUAAAUGAGUCAUGUUCUGCAUGAAGUGACUUGGUACUUUGAAUUAAAUGAUUGUAAUUAUCUGUA